rnacentral:piRNA from 1 species
UUCGAGCCUGAGCCCUUUGCAACUUCGUCGU